UGACACGGUCUCCGCGCACAGAAAAUCUGCGCUGCGCACAAAAAAAAUAAUCCAACCUAAACUGUAAAUAAAAUAAACACGUAACAAUUCAUUCUGUGCUAUUUUUCAAUGUGAGUCAGUGAGUGACCGGUGACUGGCUGCUGCAGCCAAUAAUGCGAUUCACAUACGUAUUUACCAUAGACUGUAUAUAAUGGUAUUUAUUCCAGCUAAUCGUCAGGCGUCCUUAUGUAUAGCCACCGUUGUUGUCAUAGAUAUGAAUGAGUAGAUAGGACACGCCCCUUUGAGCUGCGUGCUACAGCGAGGCUAAGCUAGUGGGAGAAAAGUUUCAGUGCAUUCCGUAGAUGUAGACGGCGUGAAAACGGAAACAACAAGUAUGUCGGCUCACUGUGCUGGAUACAGUUACACACUACGUCGUACGAUUGAGACAAGGAAACUUGGAAUGACUUUUCAUAGGUUUCCCAGAGACUAUGGGUUGAGGAGGAAUUGGAAGUUUGUCGGCUUAGACCUGGUGUCAUUCCAUCAGUGUUAAACUUCCCGGCUCAUCUUGGAAGAGUACGUGCCAGAAAGACCACGACCAAGCAGCCUUGAGAUCUUAGACAGCGUCUCCCUGAGGUCCCUCUCUAUCUCCCCACACAUCCACCAACCACUGGAACACAUCUCCAAAGUUCUGCUGGACCAGCUCAGCUUCCCCUCAGAAGAAGUGCUGCCACCUGCCAGAUGAAGGAGCCUUUUGAGAGGCAGCUGGCAUCAUGAUUGGACUGUACUUUGGUCUGUUCCAAUCCAGCUUCAGCUCCAGAGACGGCAGGCGGGACGAGUCAACGGAGGCCUGGUGGACGAAGGCAUGAAGCUGAGUACAAUCCAGAAAACAACAGAGGAGGAGUGCAGGGCCAGAACAAACAGAGUAGCAUCGUAUGUCUCUUAGAAAACAUCAUAGUAUAGCCUUUGGGAUGAAAAAACACCAUCAUAUACAUCGUAUAUUGUACAUAUAACAAGUCAAAGGAAAGAGACAUACAUUGUAGAAUUGUAGUAAUUGUGGGCUGACUGAUUUACUGAUUAUCAGUAUUUUAUUUUUUACUGAUUUAUGGUAAUAAAUACAUUUAAAAAUGG